UGAGGAAUAUUGGUCAAUGGGUGCAAGCCUGAACCAGCCAUCCCGCGUGAAGGACGACUGCCCUAUGGGUUGUAAACUUCUUUUGUAUAGGGAUAAACCUACCCUCGUGAGGGUAGCUGAAGGUACUAUACGAAUAAGCACCGGCUAACUCCGUGCCAGCAGCCGCGGUAAUACGGAGGGUGCAAGCGUUAUCCGGAUUUAUUGGGUUUAAAGGGUCCGUAGGCGGACUUAUAAGUCAGUGGUGAAAGCCUGUCGCUUAACGAUAGAACUGCCAUUGAUACUGUAAGUCUUGAGUAUAUUUGAGGUAGCUGGAAUAAGUAGUGUAGCGGUGAAAUGCAUAGAUAUUACUUAGAACACCAAUUGCGAAGGCAGGUUACCAAGAUAUAACUGACGCUGAGGGACGAAAGUGUGGGGAGCGAACAGGAUUAGAUACCCUGGUAGUCCACGCCGUAAACGAUGCUAAGCUCGUUUUGGGGCUUCGGCUUCAGAGAUCCGAAGCGAAAGUGAUAAGUUAGCCACCUGGGGAGUACGCUCGCAAGAGUGAAACUCAAAUGAAUUGACGGGGUCAUAGCUGUUUCCU
rnacentral:rRNA from 1 species